AUCUGACUGGGAUUGGGCUGUCGUCAAGGGUGUAUGUCGGUUUCUUGUUUGUAUCUGCAGCACAUAUGGUUGUAACUCCAACACCCGCGCAAUGACAGAAUCAUCUCUUUUAGUUCUUUGUUGUUUAUUAACUAGUGAAAUCGCAGCGUCCACGGAUUCAUAUCGUGACAGUCUGCAAGAACUCAUCGGCCUAUCGACAUCAAGCACAGUGCUGGUGGCGUCAGCAGUCGCCCUGAUAAUAUCGGCUGUAUGCCUCCUCAGUCGCAAGAACAAUCCUUCCGACCCCGAACCCCCUUUUCCUGUCUCGACGUGCAGGAGGACGUCGUUUUCAGGAUGAACUUUUCCAUUCAUGUUACCUCACACAGCUUUCAUUAAAACUAUCGUACAUC